rnacentral:lncRNA from 1 species
UCCUCCAUGCUCCACACCAUUCUUGAAGCUUCCAUGCCAUUUUCUCUUUGUCCACCAUGAAACCAAGUUUUCUUCAUUUUCCUUUCCAUGUUUUCUUUUCCUUUCUUCUCCAAACUUCUUGAGCACUAAAUUGAUAGCCUUUAACCCUAAUUUCCAGCACAUCUAAACCCUAGGAGGAGAAGAAAGAAAAAGAGAGAAAGGAAGAAAAAGCUUGGCUUUGGUGAUUCAAGCAAGGAACGGUAAGAAUUCUUGUUUUUGGCUUGAGUAGUCUUUGAAAAUGAGUUAGUGACUUAGAGAAAUGUCUUGUGACAGCAAAGAUUGGCUUCAUUGGAGAAAAAUUGGUAACAUGUAAGCCAAUAAACCCAUGGGUACAUGAAGGACUCAAAGUGGAAAAGGAAAACGGUAAGCUUAACA